GGAAUAUUGGACAAUGGGCGCAAGCCUGAUCCAGCAAUGCCGCGUGUGUGAAGAAGGCCUUCGGGUUGUAAAGCACUUUCGGUAAGGAAAAAAGGCUCAAGGUUAAUACCCUUGAGAGUUGAUAUUACUUACAGAAGAAGCCCCGGCUAACUCUGUGCCAGCAGCCGCGGUAAUACAGAGGGUGCAAGCGUUAAUCGGAUUUACUGGGCGUAAAGCGCACGUAGGCGGGUAUUUAAGUCGGAUGUGAAAGCCCCGGGCUCAACCUGGGAACUGCAUUCGAUACUGGGUACCUAGAGUAUGGUAGAGGAGAGUAGAACUCCCGGUGUAGCGGUGAAAUGCGUAGAUAUCGGGAAGAAUACCAGUGGCGAAAGCGGCUCUCUGGACCAAUACUGACGCUCAGGUGCGAAAGCGUGGGGAGCAAA
rnacentral:rRNA from 1 species